rnacentral:rRNA from 1 species
GAUUAAACAAAUAAAUCCUCAAAACUAUUAGAUCCUGUCAGAACUCUACAAUUAAACGUCCUUGUGCGCGACUGGUAAAAUAAUGAGUGACCUCUUUAUAAGUUCUCGUAUUACAUCC